CAACCUACCUAUCAGAGGGGAAUAACCCGGCGAAAGUCGGACUAAUACCGCAUAAAACAGGGGCACCGCAUGGUGAUAUUUGUUAAAGAAAUUCNCUGAUAGAUGGGCAUGCGUUCCAUUAGGUAGUUGGUGAGGUAACGGCUCACCAAGCCGACGAUGGAUAGGGGAACUGAGAGGUUGGUCCCCCACACUGGUACUGAGACACGGACCAGACUCCUACGGGAGGCAGCAGUGAGGAAUAUUGGUCAAUGGGCGGGAGCCUGAACCAGCCAAGUCGCGUGAAGGAAGAAGGAUCUAUGGUUCGUAAACUUCUUUUGCAGGGGAAUAAAGUGCAGGACGUGUCCUGUUUUGUAUGUACCCUGAGAAUAAGGAUCGGCUAACUCCGUGCCAGCAGCCGCGGUAAUACGGAGGAUCCGAGCGUUAUCCGGAUUUAUUGGGUUUAAAGGGUGCGUAGGUGGUUUGAUAAGUCAGCGGUGAAAGUUUGCAGCUUAACUGUAAAAAUGCCGUUGAAACUGUCGGACUUGAGUGUAAAUGAGGUAGGCGGAAUGCGUGGUGUAGCGGUGAAAUGCAUAGAUAUCACGAAGAACUCCGAUUG
rnacentral:rRNA from 1 species